rnacentral:rRNA from 1 species
CGGUGGCUUAACCCCUUGUGGGAGGGAGCCGUCGAAGGUGGGAUCGGCGAUUGGGACGAAGUCGUAACAAGGUAGCCGUACCGGAAGGUGCGGCUGGAUCACCUCCUUU